rnacentral:rRNA from 1 species
GGGAAUCUACCCAGAUCUACGGAACAACAGAGGGAAACUUCUGCUAAUACCGUAUACGCCCUACGGGGGAAAGAUUUAUCGGAUUUGGAUGAGCCCGCGUAAGAUUAGCUAGUUGGUGAGGUAAUGGCUCACCAAGGCGACGAUCUUUAGCUGGUCUGAGAGGAUGAUCAGCCACACUGGGACUGAGACACGGCCCAGACUCCUACGGGAGGCAGCAGUGGGGAAUAUUGGACAAUGGGCGCAAGCCUGAUCCAGCCAUGCCGCGUGAGUGAUGAAGGCCUUAGGGUUGUAAAGCUCUUUCAGUGGGGAAGAUAAUGACGGUACCCACAGAAGAAGCCCCGGCUAACUUCGUGCCAGCAGCCGCGGUAAUACGAAGGGGGCUAGCGUUGUUCGGAUUUACUGGGCGUAAAGCGCACGUAGGCGGUUUGUUAAGUCAGGGGUGAAAUCCCAGAGCUCAACUCUGGAACUGCCUUUGAUACUGGCAAGCUAGAGUCCGGAAGAGGUAAGUGGAACUCCUAGU